UACGGAGGAUUCGAGCGUUAUCCGGAUUUAUUGGGUUUAAAGGGAGCGUAGGCGGGUUGUUAAGUCAGUUGUGAAAGUUUGCGGCUCAACCGUGAAAUUGCAGUUGAUACUGGCAUCCUUGAGUACAGUAGAGGUAGGCGGAAUUCGUGGUGUAGCGGUGAAAUGCUUAGAUAUCACGAAGAACUCCGAUUGCGAAGGCAGCCUGCUGGACUGUAACUGACGCUGAUGCUCGAAAGUGUGGGUAUCAAACAGG
rnacentral:rRNA from 1 species